ACUGUAUUAUUAUUAUUAUUAUUAUUAUUAUUAUUAUUGGAUCUUUCAAAUGAUGGGCCAGAGGGCACAGCACUUGAUGCCUAUCUGCUAUUAUUUAAAACAGCCAAAACAAUUUAAACAGCCUCUCAUUAAUCAAGCAAUCAAAUCUCUAGAAAACAUCUAAUAAUCCCAUUUUGAAGAAAUUGUCUAGGGGUUCACCAGUGAACUUUGGCAUUAAGAUGGGUUGUGGGGUCCUGCAUGCAUAGAUUGCUGGGUCAUACUUUCCCAGAAAUUGUUGACAAUUGUUAACAAUUCAGCUUAUCUUGCUCGAAAUUUAUUUAUUUCGACUGCGUCAGACCAACACGGCUACCUACCUGAGUUUAUCCUGGUGAUAUUCCCUGGUCAUGCUUAACAUAGCAGUGCUAGGUUUGUGACACCUAUCUGCUUUGUGGAUAACUGUCAAACGCCAACAACAUUCACUGGUGUAUCUCUGAGAAAGCCAGCAUUUAUACAGAGAGAAAAAUAACAUUGCCAUUCCCAAAGUGUGUGCUGAGUCGACAUUUGUCUCUUUUUGGACUUUCGCCGUAACUUAUUCCAUUUAUCUUCAAUCUGUCUCUUAUUUAUUCAAGGGAAAUGUUAGGAAAGAUGGGAAUAAAUCUAAGAUGCCAAUCCCAACUAUCAUUUCUCCCUCUGCCCAGUAUGCAUCAUUCAUUUCCGCCAGCUUGGAGCCAGUGGUCAGCCAAAUAAAUUGUUUUGCUUAAGUGCAGACUGUUAGAGGCAGUGUUGAACUUAGACCCAGUUUACACAUUUAGCAGAAUGCAGAAAGCUAUUUUUAGACUAUACCUCUUUAGGUUUCAGGGGAAGUGGGGAACUUGCAUGGAUGAAUGUCGCCUUAUGGGAAAAUAAAACUCCUUCCAUGUUGAAAAUGCGUAUGGUUUUCCCCCUUUCCCCUGACAAACGUCUCCUUGCGUGUGUUUUUUUCCUGCAUAAAGGAAGAGUUCUCCCUCCAUGGGGGGGGGGAGCAUUUAAACAUACAAAAUUGUCACCUGCAGGCUGGAGAACAGCUGCACCACUUGAUUCUAUUCUAUGUAGACACUGGGAGUAGAAUUCAGUGUCACACUAAUAGUAUGAGAGGCUUCUCCUUCCAUACCAUACAUUUAAAGCACUUGGCUUUCCCCCAAAGAAUCCUGGAAAUUGUAGUUUGUUAAAGGGUGCCGGGAAUUGUCGCUCUGCGAGGAGUAGACUGUAGUUCACAGGAUUCCUUGGGGGAAGCUGUGUAUGAUUUGGAUGGGACCAAAUCUGAUAGUUAUCUGUUUGCACCAUUCAUUCAGCUGACUUGGUUUAAGACUACAAUUGAGGGCCUAUUCGAUUUGGGGGGCAGGUAUCUCUGUGCUGCUGCAUCUUAAAGGCUUCAUGGUGAGUUUCUUUCUUAUGGUUUAUUUUCCUUUAUUUUCCUCUCAAUUUUCCAGGAUUUAGCAGUUGAUUCUUUUCCUGAUGCUGCUGAUGUAAUGACGCUCUUUCAUCCAGAGGGUGGUGUCUAAUAAAACAUCUUGCCUUUUUCACUUUUUAGCUUGGCAAGCCGAUUCUGUGUUUGGUAGCCCUCUGCUUGUGGAAACAUGUGGGGAUAUUUCCCCCCCCCUCUCUCUCCAUUGAUAUACUGUACCACAGUAUUAGGAUAUGUGAAAGGGCACCUUUUCAGUUCUUUGGAGAGGGCCAUCUGAUGGUUUCAUUUUUGUUCGAGGUUGCUGUGAAAGCUAUAAGUAAGUUGUGGUUCACUGAUGUUGAAAAGCAAUCCAAUUAACAACCCAAAUAUAAGAAAAUACCCAUGGAUUUACACAAAUUAGCCCACUACUUUAAUUCAACUAAGUCAUUUCCCCCCUCAAAGGGUGGGGAAUGUACGGCUUGCAAAAAAUGCAAGAUCUAAGUGCUUGCCCCCAUGUAAUCUCAAGGGUGUAAUUUGCCCUCCCCUCUUUCUGAAUGCACCAUAAAUGGCUAUUUUAAUUAUAUGUUUCUUGGAUAUAAUGUAAUGCGCUGACUAAGCUAAAAAUAAUGAAGUUCUACCCUACGAUUCCAUAUUUAGAGUGCCUGUCUGAGGUUCAUUAGUUAGGGAACCCCAUUUCUAUAUGGUAUGAUCUGUUGAUUUUUUAUUUUUUAUUUUUUGCUGAUUCACAUCCCCUAUAAACAGAGAUGAAGUGGUCUGUAAAUUUUCCAGACUAAGUUUUUGAAGAUAGUUUUAAAAGGUUGAGAAAGACAGCUGAGAGGACUCCUAGCAUAUCAACAGCCACAGCUGCUGCUACAAGUAUCGUGUAGCUGCUACUGCAACUGUUUGAGAUAAGUGUAGGCCUUGGAAUUAAUACUGAUGAAAGGCAGGAUAUGAACAUUUGAAAUAAAGCAAGCAAACAAACAUGAAAUGAACCAACCACUGAAAUAAUGUUGAUACCCUGGUGUAGUAUGUAUCUCACCACUCUUGCGUUGUAUGUAUCCAGCUAACUUCCAUUCAGAAUCGACCCAUUGAAAUGUAUGAAUCCAAGUCAUGUCUAUUAACUUUAACGAGUAUACCCUGUGCAGAAUCAGCAUUGGAUACUUGCCUUUGUUUUUCAUGAGUGUGCUGUGUAUAUAUCACAAGUGUUCACUGCUGGCACAUUAAGAACAAAUUAAGAAAAGGCAAUAAAUGUCAGGCCUCCAAGAAGCAAAGCAUUUCCAAGUCUACAAUGGCCACUGUACUCUCACUAGUUUUCAUUAUCAAACAUGUGGUCCUCAGAUCUUUACUAUCCCACUUUCUCACUGUAGGAUCUGUAGGGGAUAUGGAAGCCAAAGAGUUAGGGGAAACAUCACCAGACACUGCCUGCUUGCCAGAUCAAGCCACCCUUCUCUUCCUUUUAGAUCCAGGAACUAGCGUUGAGAGGAGUCAUAUGCAUCAGAGGCUGUGCUUGCUAUCACUUCAUCUCUUGCAAACAAGUCACUCAACAGGCUGUCAUCAGCCCUUCUUUCUUUCCGCUGAGGGUGUGCAGGGUGAGGAGAGAAGGAACCAGCCAGCAUUCUUGAGGGGGCUCUUCAAGGAAGGUGCCUUCGGUGGUGAUGACGCAACCUCAAGCUAUCCCGGAAAGCCAAGGGAGGUGUGAUGGUGACUUCCAAAGAGUGACACGUUCGGGCCCAAACAAGUCAAAUUGCUGGAAAUGCGGCAGACGGGAAGGACUUCACACACCCAGUGCUUGCAUUUUGUCCCCAGGCCAGCUGUUGAGGAUGGGGAAGGCUGUUUACAAGUGACAAGGAUGCAAUUUAUUACUCUUCCCCUGCUGUCUCUUUCGCAAUAUCAGGAAAGAUGCCCACAAGCAGGAAGUACGUAUCAGGUUUCCCGUCAUCUCACUGAAUGGGGUGGAAAGAUCUAUUACUAAUGAAUCAGUGCAUCACUGCAGUGUGGAAGACACACCAGGUCUGAGGCAAGAGAGAAGCAAGCAAGAAGAUUUAAGAUUUCCACAUUUAAACAUUCAGUGCCGUUGCCUUUAAAUGAGACUUAGAGGUUCCUGCCAAAUAAAUCGGAUCAGCAGCACUUCCUAUUUUGUGGUAUGCUAUUGCUGUUAGGUGAUGGACAGUUAUUGAAAGAAUUCAGGACUAGGGUUUUCUCUCUCUCUCUUUUUAAUGCUUCUAAUGUGAACCGCUCUCAAGGUAACCAUUACUAUCUCUUAAAAACAUUUUAUUAUGAAGGCAAAUGUAUGUUUUAGCAAUGCUCAGAUGGCUACUUAAUGUCAUGUUUAUCCCAGGCCAGACACUCUCCGAAACAAAUGAGAGUUUAAGAUCUAGCUUUCCUUUUUGUUUAAUGGAGCUAAAGUUGUUUAAAUCAUCCACUUCCAUAUAAACGUUUCACUUAAAACAAGCCGACCUAUUCCUCUCCAUUAAAAGUUCAUUCAUCAAAAACCAGGGAAAGGUUUCAGCAAGUUUCAAAGAGGGAUUGGACAUCUCUGUGGAGCAGCAAGAAUAGCUAAUAGUUUCACAUCCUGGAGGAGGGGACAGAACGUGAAACCUCCUGCCUCAGGGCUAUACCUGAUCUCUACUCUUUCAUUAUGGGCAAGUGAUCUCAUCAAAGGUUGCGUACUCCCUCCCCCUGCCCCCCCAAGCUUCAGAUGUACUGCCACACAUGUGCCGGGGACAGGAUAUGAGUCUAUAGGCGCCAUAUGUGCAACUCUGUGUGGCACGGCAUUUGCCAAGGAUGAUCUCUGACAAGCACAGGAUUCUUGGGAGCUAAUGAGAUGCACAAAUGCAGGAAGCUCAGAAGAUCACAUUUCCUUGUACCCACACUGUAUCAUUAACACCCAAGAUGUAGACCAUAGGGAAAUACAUGUGUGUCCAAUGUAGCAACAUGUGAGGUGUUAAUGCUGGACAUGGAUAUAUGCAGAAAGUAUGACUGACAACAAUUUGCUCAUGCAGAUAAAGAAUUUGAUACAGCAUUUUUAUCAUUGGAGUACUACAAUAUAUCCAAAACAAUGGGAGAAAUUGGAAGGAUCUCAAAAGAGAAGAUCGACAGGGAUUGGAAGGUG